AUUAGUCAAUGCUCGUAAGAGUGAACUAGCUAACUGGAAUCAUGAGUGUGUCACUUGUGAUAAGGUAAAGGAAAAAUUAUGAUGUCACUUUACUAGUAGUGUUGUCCAAAGCUGGUGCCAGAAGACUCGGUAAUGCCAGAGACGCAAGCGUUAGUCAUCCUGAUCAGGCGUAAAGGGUUUGUAGGCAGCUUUAAAAUAAUUAAAGAUAGAAUCAUAUAGAGGUCACUGUUAGAUAAUUCUUAGAGUAGGGUUGAUAUCUGUAGAUACUAAGAGGAAUACUAAUUAGCGAAGGCACUUUUCCAAAUUAUGAUUGACGCUGAGAAACGAAGGGGAGGAUAGAAAAUAGGAUUAGAUACCCUCGUAUCCCUCUCUGUCAACGAUGAAUGGUAGUUGCUAGUAUAAAUUAUUAGUGGCGAUGCUAACGCGUUAACCAUUCCGCCUUGUGAGUACGACUGCAAAGUUGAAAACAAAAAAAUUAGUCGGUUUCGGAGCAAACGAAGUGAAGCAUGUUAUUUAA
rnacentral:rRNA from 1 species